CCAAAAUAAGCCAAACCCUACGCCUCUCUCUCCUCAUGCCUCCCUCAUUUCUUUCCUCCCCGACAAAACCCAAACCCGUAGAACAACUCCCUCAACCCAAGCACUUUGAUCUUCUCGUUGGUUAUUGUUGAUCUUUUGUCGGUGUUGUAAGCCUUGUCAUACUUAGAAGAGAAGAAGUCGAUGGGAAACAUCCAUCGGUAAUCAGCCGUUUGAGACGGCUGUUUCAUCUCCUCCCAGACCAAUUUUCGUCCCCGAGUUCGACUUCAUUCCAAUAUGCUCCAGGACAGUGGUCAUCAAUCGACUGCAAUAAUUCUGUGGCUGAGGGAUAAGGAUUGGCUGAAAGUGGAUUGCAAGUGCCUGGGAAGAGGGAUAGAAUGAUGCUCCAGAGCAGAUUGUUGAGGUGAAGCAGGAUGAGUUGUUGAAAAAUCGGCCAAAAAAGACCAAGCCAAAUUAACUGGGAUUGCUUUUGGCCCUGCAUACAAGGUAUGGCUUUUGUUUUCCUAAGUAUCUUUAGAAAUUUAGAAGUUAACUUUCUAAAAUUUGCAUUUUUCGUGCGUUAAUGCUUAUUAAUUUGUGAAACAUUUGGAACACCAUAAAUAUUGACAUUGUUUGAGAUUCCUAAAACAAAAGGCAUUGUUCAAGAUACUGUUUUUUGUUCUCAUAAAAUUUGUCAGAGGCAUACAUUUGAGGCUUACCCUUUGUGGCCUUGACUUACUAUGGCCCGUGUAUCAAGGUAUAUGCCUCAAGAUAGACAAGGUAUACCCUCCUUGAGGCUUGCGUCUUGCCCCAGAGGAAGCUAACGCCUCUACACCUGGUUCAAUACAGUGAUCACUACAAAACCUAUCACUUCAUGACAUAUUAAAUUGCGGGGAUGAUAUUAACAAGAGUUUGGUAAUAUUGAGAUAAGCACAGCCUAAUGAUUAUCUUUUAUUAUAUGGGGCAGUCAGUAUUUCUUUGAUUGGGUUAUAAUAAGGAUAAUUUCUACUUAAAUGUGUGGGGCAGUUAAUCUUUCUUGAUUGGGUUAUAUUAAGCAUAAUUUAUGCUUAUCUGGAAAGUCUUAUUUCUCUUUAUUUCAUCCAUGUUUAGUGUCUUUUUAUUUAUUUGGUUAUGAUAUGCAGGUAAGAUGCUUCAUUGAGAUAACUGGAUAUCAUAAAAUUUUGAAUCUAAGUCAAUUUGAAAAUUAGCCAACCUAAUGCCUUGUGACCAUUUUUCUAAUUCAGUUCUCUGUCUUAGAAUCUGGUCAUAUGCAUUGUAGGUUCUAAGAAAAAGUUGGAAAGUUGACAUAGUGAAUCUUUGAAAAGCUAGAGAAUUGGGAUCCGGUGGCUGUCAAAGUACGGAGUCAUUUUGUUCUUGAGACUAGUUGGAGAUUUACAUGGUGCAAUUUGGAUUGUCUACUCAAAUUUUUGUAAGCAGUCAUUGUUCCAUUUUUAUUUUUUUUGUUAUAUUAUUUGUGGAAGAGGUGAUUAAAUUUUUGUACGGAGUCAUUUUUGUAUAUUAUUUUUGUAGGUAGUGAUUGUCCUUUUUUUAAUUAGUUGGUGUUGUAUCACGUUUUAAUGUUCAAGUGUAUUGAUUCAAAAAUUUGUAAUGAAAUUAUCAUUUUUUAUGCAA